UACGUAGGGUGCAAGCGUUGUCCGGAAUUAUUGGGCGUAAAGAGCUCGUAGGCGGUCUGUCGCGUCGGCUGUGAAAACCUGGGGCUCAACUCCGGGCCUGCAGCCGAUACGGGCAGACUAGAAUUCGGUAGGGGAGACUGGAAUUCCUGGUGUAGCGGUGAAGUGCGCAGAUAUCAGGAGGAACACCGGUGGCGAAGGCGGGUCUCUGGGCCGAUAUUGACGCUGAGGAGCGAAAGCGUGGGGAGCGAACAGG
rnacentral:rRNA from 1 species